GGCCACUUCGGGCGCCUUAAAUGGUAAGAAAACGUGGGUUAUACGGGUCUCGUGGUGAUUAUUUUUAAUGCUUUGUGUCUAUUACAUAAUAAAUUGAAACGCAAGCAAUUCGAGAGAGCAUGGUGAGUACCAGCAGGACUCCAAACCCACAAAACAAAGAAACGUAAAAAAUAAAAGAAACAUACCCCAACUCCCUACUCCAAAACCAUCCCCGGUGGGAGUGACGUGAUGUAGGUCUGACAAGCAUGAUGUGUUCCAACAAACCGAAUUAGUAAUCAUCAUACGGUUGGAGCAUCUUCAAGAAUUAUCGGUAGCAACCAUCCAG
rnacentral:lncRNA from 1 species